rnacentral:rRNA from 1 species
AGAGUUUGAUCAUGGCUCAGAUUGAACGCUGGCGGCAUGCCUAACACAUGCAAGUCGAACGGAAACGAAGCUAGCUUGCUAGCAGGCGUCGAGUGGCGGACGGGUGAGUAAUGUAUAGGGAUCUGCCUGAUAGUGGGGGACAACGUGUGGAAACGCACGCUAAUACCGCAUACGCUCAACGGAGGAAAGUGGGGGACCUUUCGGGGCCUCAUGCUAUCAGAUGAACCUAUAUUGGAUUAGCUAGUUGGUAAGGUAAAGGCUUACCAAGGCGACGAUCCAUAGCUGGUUUGAGAGAAUGAUCAGCCACACUGGGACUGAGACACGGCCCAGACUCCUACGGGAGGCAGCAGUGGGGAAUAUUGCACAAUGGGCGCAAGCCUGAUGCAGCAAUGCCGCGUGUGUGAAGAAGGCCUUAGGGUUGUAAAGCACUUUCAGACGUGAGGAAAGGUUAAGGUUUAAUAGAUUUUAACUAUGACGUUAACGUCAGAAGAAGCACCGGCUAACUCCGUGCCAGCAGCCGCGGUAAUACGGAGGGUGCAAGCGUUAAUCGGAAUUACUGGGCGUAAAGCGCGCGUAGGCGGAUAUAUAAGUCAGAUGUGAAAGCCCUGGGCUCAACCUAGGAACUGCAUUUGAAACUGUAUAUCUAGAGUAUGGUAGAGGUGAGUGGAAUUUCAGGUGUAGCGGUGAAAUGCGUAGAGAUCUGAAGGAACAUCAGUGGCGAAGGCGACUCACUGGGCCAUUACUGACGCUGAGGUGCGAAAGCGUGGGUAGCAAACAGGAUUAGAUACCCUGGUAGUCCACGCCCUAAACGAUGUCAACUAGGUGUGUGAGAGUUUAACUCUUGCGUAUCGAAGCUAACGCGAUAAGUUGACCGCCUGGGGAGUACGGCCGCAAGGCUAAAACUCAAAUGAAUUGACGG